UACGUAGGGGGCUAGCGUUGUCCGGAAUCAUUGGGCGUAAAGAGCGUGUAGGCGGCCCGGUAAGUCCGCUGUAAAAGUCAAAGGCUCAACCUUUGAAAUGUCAGUGGAUACUGCCGGGCUAGAGUCCGGAAGAGGCGAGUGGAACUCCUGGUGGUAGCGGUGGAAUGCGCAGAUAGUCAGGAAGAACACCAACGGCGAAGGCAGCUCGCUAGGACGGUACUGACGCUGAGACGCGAAAGCGUGGGGAGCGAACAGG
rnacentral:rRNA from 1 species